AUGGAAGAGCUACAGAAGGACGGUGGGCAAUCACCAAACCUAUCUGAUUCUGAGCCAGAACUUAUGGUAAUAGAUGACGAUGGAGAGGAAAAGUUCCAUAACAUGGAUGAGGGAAGCAAUGAUUCUCCUAUACAUGUUGAUGAAGGACAGUCCUCAAUGGAUGUGGAUGUGAAGGGAAAAACAUCCCUUGAUGAUGAAUCCCGUGAUGAUGAUGUUAAUGGAAAAUCUUCUUCUGAUCCAUGCUCAAAUGUUCCAAUCGACGUGAGUGUAGAAAGCCUAGAGAAGUUUUGCAAAGAAGCAUCAAGAUCUUUCUUUGAUGAAAUUGGUCUGAUUAGCCAUCAGAUAAAUUCCUAUAAUGAGUUUGUCUCGCAUGGGCUCCAGGAGCUUUUUGAUUCACUCGGCGAAGUCAUUGUUGAUCCUGGUUAUGAUCCUUCAAAGAAAGUGUCAGGUAGCUGGAAGCAUGCCAUCAUCAAGUUUGGGAGAGUGAAGCUUGAAAAGCCUGUAUUCUUGUCUGGCAAAGAUGAAGUUGAUAUUGAUUUGAAACCGAGGCAUGCUCGCCUCCAGAACAUGACAUAUGCUUCCAAAAUUAAAGUAGAAGUGACGAUUCAGGUUUAUUCUUUAGAGAAAAGUGACAAGUCUAAAACAGGGAAUGACGGUUUUGUUCAAAAAAGGGACUUUAUGAAUGAAACUCAUUGGAUAUAUAUUGGCCGCCUUCCAGUUAUGGUGAAAUCAGAUUUGUGCUUGCUGCAUAGUCACAAGGAAAGUGACUGCCUGUUCGAUGCAGGCGGAUACUUUUUGGUUAAGGGAAUGGAGAAGGUAUUCAUUGCUCAAGAGCAAAGAUGCCUGAGCAGGCUUUGGAUUGCUGACAGACCUUGCUGGACUGUCUCUUUUAUGUCUGAAAUCAAGCGAAGGCGCAUAUAUAUUAAACUAGUGGAAUCUACAAAGAGUGAAGAUUUCAGUGGGAGCAAAAUCAUUUCCAUUUCCUUUCUGUAUGCGACAAUGCCAAUUUGGUUGAUGUUUUUUGCACUAGGAAUAUCAUCAGACAAGGAAGCUUUUGAUGUGAUAGAUAUGCAAGAUUGUGAUGCUUCUGUUGUCAACACAAUAUCUGCAACUAUCAAAGAAUCUGAUGGACUGUGUGAAGGCUUUCGUAAAUCAGAUAAAGCACGUCAAUAUGUUGAUAAGUUGGUAAAAAAUUCAAGAUUUCCUCCAGCAGAGUCCUUUGAUGACUAUGUUGAUAAGUUUCUCUUUCCUGAUAUUAGUGGAUAUAGGAACAAAGCACUUUUCUUAGGUUACAUGGUGAAAUGCCUGCUAAUGGCUUUUAUUGGAAAGCGCAAAUGUGACAAUAAGGAUGAUUUCCGGAAUAAGAGGUUGGACCUGGCUGGUGAAUUGCUUGGAAGGGAACUUCGGGCACAUAUUAGGCAUGCAGAGAGACGCAUGAUUAAGGCUAUUCAGAGAGAUUUGAAUAGUGACCGCGAGUUACAAGAUCUUGCACGCUAUCUUGAUGCAUCGAUUGUCACUAAUGGUCUAAACCGUGCCUUUUCCACUGGUUCUUGGUGCCAUCCCUACAAAAGAAAUGAACGGUGCUCAGGAAUUGUUGCGACUCUAAGGAGAACAAAUCCUCUUCAAAUGAUGUCUGACUUGAGGAAAACCCGUCAGCGGGUUGCUUAUGCUGGGAAAGCUGGUGAUGCUAGAUAUCCGAAUCCAUCCUACUGGGGAAAGCUGUGUUUUAUGUCCACUCCUGAUGGUGAAAACUGUGGACUUGUGAAAAAUCUAGCUGUUACUGCUAUUGUUAGCUCUAGGGUGGUGCAACCUUUGAUUGAGAGCUUCAUUUCUUGUGGAAUGAGUAAGCUGAAUGAAAUUCCUACUGAGAGCAUUCAGAGAAUGGAUAAGAUCUUUCUCAAUGGCAAUUGGGUAGGAUCUUGUACUGAUUCAGCUUCAUUUGUAUUGCGAUUAAGGUGCAUGAGACGCAGCAGUCUGAUCGAUCCACAGGUUGAAAUCAAAAGGGACAAGCACCAAAAGGAAGUUCGUGUGUUUUCUGAUGCAGGGCGACUCCUCAGACCCCUUCUUGUUGUUGAAAAUCUCAAUAAAAUCAGAAAACCAAAGGGCCGCCAAUACUCUUUCCAGGAAUUAAUGCAACAAGAAAUAAUUGAGUUCAUUGGUGUUGAGGAGGAGGAGGAUAUACAAUGUGCCUGGGGAAUCAGACAUUUAUUUGGGAGUGAAGGGGAGAUAUCUAGUUAUACUCACUGUGAGCUGGAUCCUUCUUUUCUGCUGGGACUAAGUUGCGGUAUCAUUCCUUUUGCAAACCACAAUUUUGCUCGGAGGGUACUAUACCAAUCUGAAAAACACUCACAGCAAGCUAUUGGGUACUCCACGACAAACCCACACAUCAGAGUUGAUACUCUUUCUCAUCAACUAUAUUAUCCUCAGAGACCUCUUUUCAAAACAGUUAUAGCUGACUGUCUUGGCAGAUCAGAUUAUACUAUUGGAAGAAGAGAUGACUUUUCUAGACCAGAAUAUUUCAACGGUCAAAAUGCGAUUGUAGCAGUCAAUGUUCAUCAGGGGUUUAACCAAGAGGAUUCCCUGGUUAUGAAUAGGGCUUCUCUUGAACGUGGUAUGUUUCGGACUGAGCACCUCAGGAGCUAUAAGGCAGAUGUUGAAAACAAAGAUGGAACCAAACGACUGAAGAAGGAAAAGAUAGACUUUGCAAAAAUGGAAAGCAAAAGAGGGUGUGUCGACAAUCUUGAUGAUGAUGGCUUACCUUACAUUGGUGCAAGUCUUCAGACCAAUGACAUUAUUAUUGGCAAAGUUUCAGAAUCUGGAGAAGACCACAGUAUUAAGCUGAAGCAUACUGAGAAGGGAAUGGUUCAGAAAGUAUUGCUUUCAGCAAAUGAUGAAGGGAAGAAUUUUGCUGUUGUUACUUUAAGACAGGUUCGAACGCCGUGCCUUGGAGAUAAGUUUUCUAGCAUGCAUGGCCAGAAAGGCGUUGUUGGCUUUCUAGAAUCUCAGGAGAACUUCCCAUUUACUCACGAAGGAAUAGUCCCGGAUAUUGUGAUAAAUCCACAUGCCUUCCCAACACGUCAAACUCCCGGCCAGUUGCUUGAAGCUGCUUUGGGGAAGGGAAUUGCCCUCGGAGGUACAAUGAGAUAUGCUACACCAUUCACCACAGCAUCAGUUGAUGUUAUCGCAGAGCAGUUGCACAAGUUUGGAUUUUCAAAAUGGGGAGCCGAGAGCGUUAUAAAUGGCCGAACUGGUGAAAGGAUGCAGUCCUUGGUUUUCAUGGGCCCUACAUUUUACCAAAGGUUGAUUCACAUGUCCGAAGAUAAGGUGAAAUUCCGCAACACUGGGCCAGUGCACCCCCUCACAAGGCAGCCUGUCGCUGACAGGAAAAGGUUUGGUGGAGUUAAGUUUGGAGAAAUGGAGCGUGAUUGCCUCCUCGCCCAUGGAGCAGCUGCCAACCUGCAUGAGCGGUUGUUCAUGCUUAGUGAUUUCUCCCAGAUGCACAUCUGCCAGACAUGCGAGCGGGUGGCUAAUGUUAUCAUGAGGUGUGUCCCAGGAGGGAAAAAGAUCAGGGGUCCAUACUGCGGCUUCUGCAAGUCUUCCGAGAACAUAGUGAGGAUCAAUGUGCCCUAUGGUGCAAAGCUGCUCUACCAGGAACUCUUCAGCAUGGGGAUCUGCCUCAAGUUCGAGACAGAAGUCUGCUAGAACUCCUAAAGCUAUUUGUUAUCCAGUCAUGUACAUAAUCCUGUGUGAUGCUGGCAUAGCAAGGAUGGGCGAACCCGAUGGAGUGAAUUGCACUGGCAGCAGGAUAUUUCCAUUGGGUAGGGGGUGUCUGUCUCAAGUUUCAGAAGAAACCCUGUUGAAACUAAACCUUGUAGCGUUUAUGUGCUGCUUCACUCUGCUCAUUUGGAAAUGUUGCAAUUGCGGCCUGGUGCAGACUGCUGAGCUGAUGGGUUCGAUGGUUCGUAGGUUUGCAGCAUGAUUCAUGACAAGGAUUACUGAAGUUUAGAAGCAAAUGUUAUGCUUGCCUUGGAAUCGUAGGUGCUACAAUAGGCUUGACGUUUGAGUCUACAGACUCCUGUCUGCAAAUUGAGCGAGUUGAAAUUGUCAAUUGACUCUGAGAGAAACUGCACCUGUAGUGUGCAUUGGAAUCGUUGAUCUGGUAGCCGUGUUGUUUGGAUUAACGGAAUAAUUACUAGUUCGAGGUCAUCUUCAUCCUAGGGCUUGAAGGGGAAA